UCAGCACACACCACGUAUACUGUAUUCAAUGGCUGACCCAGGGCAAAAUGGGCCAAAUCUGUGAAGAGGUUGAGCAAUCAGGGAAUCCAAAAGGAAAAGAAUGAAGCCUGGUAACAAAAAGAGCAGGGAAGAAACCCGAGUUAAGUGGAAGAACAUUGAAGCCACAGAGAGUAAGAAUAUGGGUUCAGAGCCAACGGACAGAGAAGGAGAGAAAGAAUGAGAUGAGGAUGGAGAGGCAGAGAGGAGGAGAGGGCCAGAAAGAGCAAGUGGUUAGACGAGUAGGCCUGAUGAGCAAUGAGCGCCUCACUCGUCUUCAAUUAAUCUUGUCUCUCAACCUUUUGGUUGGACGCCUCUUUGGAACCAAGAUGGUGUCAACAGCCGACAUGCUCUCACCCUGCUGCCGAACUCCCCGCUCAGACAGAUCCAAAGCCCUGCCAAGACCACAGAACUGACGCUAAUAAAAUCAUUUGAAAUUUAACAAGCGCCAGUUUCAGGCCCAGUUCACUGAGAACCACCAGGAAAGUCAUGACAUUCACUCUUGAAUGUUUCAUCGGCUGGCCUGGGAGGCCUGUUUUAUAUGCCUUCAGGCUGUUCAUGAGCAGGAGGAAGCCUGGAGGCAGGAACCUGCACAUCAGCACUUCUCUGCCCAUCAUGACUCUUUCAUGGGGACCCAGUCUCCUGAAAUUCUCUAAUAGAGCCCAGUGAGAUGACAACUAUAAUGAGUCCAACAGAUGAAAGCCCAGCAGGACAAAGCAACAUUCAGAUCCAUCUCCACACAAACACUUCGGAGCAACAGUCUGAGGCUCCCAGUGUGAGUGUUUUAUUUAGGUAAACAAAAACACUGGAUUUAGAGUGAUGGAACCAAAGGAAGCAUCUGUAUUUUGGCAGAACUUCAAAAAGUAUAUGUGGACAUGCUUAAAAUGUCAGCAGAAAACAAUUGAAUAAAAGA